rnacentral:rRNA from 1 species
UGGGGGAUAUUGCACAAUGGGCGAAAGCCUGAUGCAGCGACGCCGCGUGGGGGAUGAAGGCCUUCGGGUUGUAAACUUCUUUUGCUCUGAACAAGGCAUGCCUUUGGGGUGUGUUGAGUGUAGGGGUUGAUUAGCGCCGGCUAACUACGUGCCAGCAGCCGCGGUAAUACGUAGGGCGCGAGCGUUGUCCGGAAUUAUUGGGCGUAAUGGGCUUGUAGGUGGCUGGUUGCGUCUGUCGUGAAAGCUCAUGGCUUAACUGUGGGUUUGCGGUGGGUACGGGCUGGCUUGAGUGCAGUAGGGGAGGCUGGAAUUCCUGGUGUAGCGGUGGAAUGCGCAGAUAUCAGGAGGAAUACCGGUGGCGAAGGCGGGUCUCUGGGCUGUUACUGACGCUGAGGAGCGAAAGCGUGGGGAGCGAACAGG